rnacentral:misc_RNA from 1 species
GCAGAAAUUACCACUCUUUAGAAGCUGAGAGAAACCAGCAUGGAUGCCAUUCUGAAGCCUGGACCAAAAGAAGAGGACCUAUAUGAUCUUUUGAAUUGUCAUCCAUCUUCCACAGUGGAACAAAUUCAGACAGAGUACAAAAUACUGGCUCUUCAGUUUCAUCCAGACAAGAACCCUGAUGAUACCACAGCAGAGAAAAGAUUUCAGCAGUUACAGUUUGCCAAGGAGACGCUGUGUGACGAGGAGCGACGCGCUACCUACGACAAGUGGCGCGCCAGUGGACUGACCAUCCCGUUCAAGGAGUGGCUGGCCAUGAGGGACUCGGUGAAAACGUCAAUGCACUGGGCGACGCCGAAGACUGCCGACCGUAUGCUACCUCCGGGCGCCGGGUCAUCGGACGAGUCCACUUCAGCUCCGAGGGGAGGUCAUACUGCGGGCGAGUCCACUCUAGGGGGAGGUUCCACUGUGGGUCAGUCCGUUCGCUCGGACCGACCAUACCUAGCACAGUGGCGCAGAUCCGAAGGAAGUGAUCUGGUACGGAAGUUCAGGAAUUAUGAGAUAUAACAGCCAUGCAGAAUUGUCUAGCAAGGCUCCACUCAGAAGCGUCUUCGUGAACAAAAGAGGCGACACUUCUCACUCACGCUUACAAUUUGUGUUAUAUUUUGUAAGAUUUGUUUUUAUUUUAGGGUCCAAUUAAUGUUGUGACAUUACGUUUUUCAAUGCGGUCGAUGUUUGUAUUCCUUUCGGAUUGACCUAGGUGCGUUGUACUCAACAUUACGUUAUCCGUGCUGUUUCCAGUAUGAGGCAUACUGCCGGAAUAAUACUCAUCCAUUUGUUUGUCUAAAUGCUUCAACAUGUGUGCAAUAUUUGGUUGUUCGUCAGUAGUUGGCGCAACGGGAAUCUCAAGGCAGCUACGUAUUGUGAAUGUACUAAUUUCCGCCUUAUUACGGAAAGGUGAUGUUUCGAGAUAUUUAUGGUACUACCUACCUAGUACCUAUAUAUUGUGUGGCUACUGGCCAGUUAGCUGUUAGCAGUUAGGGUACGAGAUUACAGUAUCUAAUGAAUUUUGUGCCAUGUAACAUAUGGGACCAAGAUUGUGUAUGGAAGAUUGCUUAUUUUUCGCCAUGUUCGGUGUAUGUGGCCAGCUGACUGUUAGGUUACGAUAUUAGAGUAUCUUAUGAAUGUUGUGCCAAGUUGUAACCAAUGGGACCAAGGUCUUGUGCCGAUGAUUGCGUAUUUCUCGCUAUAGGUGCUCGGUGAUAUCUUGCGAGUUUUGGUGAAGGAAUCUGAGCAUCAUAGAUAGUUAUGUCUACUUACGUGUGUAAUUUGUGCAAUCCGUUGUUAAUAUAAGUGAUUAAUCGCGUU